rnacentral:rRNA from 1 species
CGGCGAGUGAAGCGGCAACAGCUCAAAUUUGAAAUCUGGCCCUUUCAGGGUCCGAGUUGUAAUUUGUAGAGGGUGCUUUGGCGUUGGCUGCGGUCUAAGUUCCUUGGAACAGGACGUCACAGAGGGUGAGAAUCCCGUACGUGGCCGCCGGCCUCCGCCGUGUAAAGCCCCUUCGACGAGUCGAGUUGUUUGGGAAUGCAGCUCUAAAUGGGAGGUAAAUUUCUUCUAAAGCUAAAUAUUGGCCAGAGACCGAUAGCGCACAAGUAGAGUGAUCGAAAGAUGAAAAGCACUUUGGAAAGAGAGUCAAAAAGCACGUGAAAUUGUUGAAAGGGAAGCGCUUGCAGCCAGACUUGCCCGCAGUUGCUCACCCGAGCCACCGGCUCGGGGCACUCUUCUGCGGGCAGGCCAGCAUCAGUUCAGGCGGCCGGACAAAGACCUCUAUCACGUAUCUUCCUUCGGGAUGACCUUAUAGGGGAGGUGUAAUGCGGCCAGCCUGGAUUGAGGUCCGCGCAUCAGCUAGGAUGCUGGCGUAAUGGCUGUAAGCGGCCCGUCUUGAAACACGGACCAAGGAGUCUAACAUCUAUGCGAGUGUUUGGGUGUCAAGCCCGGGCGCGCAAUGAAAGUGAACGGAGGUGGGAACCCCUCGGGGCGCACCAUCGACCGAUCCUGAUGUCUUCGGAUGGAUUUGAGUAAGAGCAUAGCUGUUGGGACCCGAAAGAUGGUGAACUAUGCCUGAAUAGGGUGAAGCCAGAGGAAACUCUGGUGGAGGCUCGCAGCGGUUCUGACGUGCAAAUCGAUCGUCAAAUUUGGGCAUAGGGGCGAAAGAC